UUAAGCGACUAAGCGUACACGGUGGAUGCCCUGGCAGUCAGAGGCGAUGAAGGACGUGCUAAUCUGCGAUAAGCGUCGGUAAGGUGAUAUGAACCGUUAUAACCGGCGAUUUCCGAAUGGGGAAACCCAGUGUGAUUCGUCACACUAUCAUUAACUGAAUCCAUAGGUUAAUGAGGCGAACCGGGGGAACUGAAACAUCUAAGUACCCCGAGGAAAAGAAAUCAACCGAGAUUCCCCCAGUAGCGGCGAGCGAACGGGGAGGAGCCCAGAGCCUGAAUCAGUGUGUGUGUUAGUGGAAGCGUCUGGAAAGGCGCGCGAUACAGGGUGACAGCCCCGUACACAAAAAUGCACAUGCUGUGAGCUCGAUGAGUAGGGCGGGACACGUGGUAUCCUGUCUGAAUAUGGGGGGACCAUCCUCCAAGGCUAAAUACUCCUGACUGACCGAUAGUGAACCAGUACCGUGAGGGAAAGGCGAAAAGAACCCCGGCGAGGGGAGUGAAAAAGAACCUGAAACCGUGUACGUACAAGCAGUGGGAGCCUCUUUAUGGGGUGACUGCGUACCUUUUGUAUAAUGGGUCAGCGACUUAUAUUCUGUAGCAAGGUUAACCGAAUAGGGGAGCCGAAGGGAAACCGAGUCUUAACUGGGCGUUAAGUUGCAGGGUAUAGACCCGAAACCCGGUGAUCUAGCCAUGGGCAGGUUGAAGGUUGGGUAACACUAACUGGAGGACCGAACCGACUAAUGUUGAAAAAUUAGCGGAUGACUUGUGGCUGGGGGUGAAAGGCCAAUCAAACCGGGAGAUAGCUGGUUCUCCCCGAAAGCUAUUUAGGUAGCGCCUCGUGAAUUCAUCUCCGGGGGUAGAGCACUGUUUCGGCAAGGGGGUCAUCCCGACUUACCAACCCGAUGCAAACUGCGAAUACCGGAGAAUGUUAUCACGGGAGACACACGGCGGGUGCUAACGUCCGUCGUGAAGAGGGAAACAACCCAGACCGCCAGCUAAGGUCCCAAAGUCAUGGUUAAGUGGGAAACGAUGUGGGAAGGCCCAGACAGCCAGGAUGUUGGCUUAGAAGCAGCCAUCAUUUAAAGAAAGCGUAAUAGCUCACUGGUCGAGUCGGCCUGCGCGGAAGAUGUAACGGGGCUAAACCAUGCACCGAAGCUGCGGCAGCGACACUAUGUGUUGUUGGGUAGGGGAGCGUUCUGUAAGCCUGUGAAGGUGUGCUGUGAGGCAUGCUGGAGGUAUCAGAAGUGCGAAUGCUGACAUAAGUAACGAUAAAGCGGGUGAAAAGCCCGCUCGCCGGAAGACCAAGGGUUCCUGUCCAACGUUAAUCGGGGCAGGGUGAGUCGACCCCUAAGGCGAGGCCGAAAGGCGUAGUCGAUGGGAAACAGGUUAAUAUUCCUGUACUUGGUGUUACUGCGAAGGGGGGACGGAGAAGGCUAUGUUGGCCGGGCGACGGUUGUCCCGGUUUAAGCGUGUAGGCUGGUUUUCCAGGCAAAUCCGGAAAAUCAAGGCUGAGGCGUGAUGACGAGGCACUACGGUGCUGAAGCAACAAAUGCCCUGCUUCCAGGAAAAGCCUCUAAGCAUCAGGUAACAUCAAAUCGUACCCCAAACCGACACAGGUGGUCAGGUAGAGAAUACCAAGGCGCUUGAGAGAACUCGGGUGAAGGAACUAGGCAAAAUGGUGCCGUAACUUCGGGAGAAGGCACGCUGAUAUGUAGGUGAAGUCCCUCGCGGAUGGAGCUGAAAUCAGUCGAAGAUACCAGCUGGCUGCAACUGUUUAUUAAAAACACAGCACUGUGCAAACACGAAAGUGGACGUAUACGGUGUGACGCCUGCCCGGUGCCGGAAGGUUAAUUGAUGGGGUCAGCGCAAGCGAAGCUCUUGAUCGAAGCCCCGGUAAACGGCGGCCGUAACUAUAACGGUCCUAAGGUAGCGAAAUUCCUUGUCGGGUAAGUUCCGACCUGCACGAAUGGCGUAAUGAUGGCCAGGCUGUCUCCACCCGAGACUCAGUGAAAUUGAACUCGCUGUGAAGAUGCAGUGUACCCGCGGCAAGACGGAAAGACCCCGUGAACCUUUACUAUAGCUUGACACUGAACAUUGAGCCUUGAUGUGUAGGAUAGGUGGGAGGCUUUGAAGUGUGGACGCCAGUCUGCAUGGAGCCGACCUUGAAAUACCACCCUUUAAUGUUUGAUGUUCUAACGUUGACCCGUAAUCCGGGUUGCGGACAGUGUCUGGUGGGUAGUUUGACUGGGGCGGUCUCCUCCUAAAGAGUAACGGAGGAGCACGAAGGUUGGCUAAUCCUGGUCGGACAUCAGGAGGUUAGUGCAAUGGCAUAAGCCAGCUUGACUGCGAGCGUGACGGCGCGAGCAGGUGCGAAAGCAGGUCAUAGUGAUCCGGUGGUUCUGAAUGGAAGGGCCAUCGCUCAACGGAUAAAAGGUACUCCGGGGAUAACAGGCUGAUACCGCCCAAGAGUUCAUAUCGACGGCGGUGUUUGGCACCUCGAUGUCGGCUCAUCACAUCCUGGGGCUGAAGUAGGUCCCAAGGGUAUGGCUGUUCGCCAUUUAAAGUGGUACGCGAGCUGGGUUUAGAACGUCGUGAGACAGUUCGGUCCCUAUCUGCCGUGGGCGCUGGAGAACUGAGGGGGGCUGCUCCUAGUACGAGAGGACCGGAGUGGACGCAUCACUGGUGUUCGGGUUGUCAUGCCAAUGGCACUGCCCGGUAGCUAAAUGCGGAAGAGAUAAGUGCUGAAAGCAUCUAAGCACGAAACUUGCCCCGAGAUGAGUUCUCCCUGACUCCUUGAGAGUCCUGAAGGAACGUUGAAGACGACGACGUUGAUAGGCCGGGUGUGUAAGCGCAGCGAUGCGUUGAGCUAACCGGUACUAAUGAACCGUGAGGCUUAACCUU
rnacentral:rRNA from 1 species